GUAGGUGGCAAGCGUUGUCCGGAAUUAUUGGGCGUAAAGCGCGCGCAGGCGGUUCUUUAAGUCUGAUGUGAAAGCCCACGGCUCAACCGUGGAGGGUCAUUGGAAACUGGAGAACUUGAGUACAGAAGAGGAAAGCGGAAUUCCACGUGUAGCGGUGAAAUGCGUAGAGAUGUGGAGGAACACCAGUGGCGAAGGCGGCUUUCUGGUCUGUAACUGACGCUGAGGCGCGAAAGCGUGGGGGAGCAAACAGGAUUAGAUACCCUGGUAGUCCACGCCGUAAACGAUGAGUGCUAAGUGUUAGGGGGUUUCCGCCCCUUAGUGCUGCAGCUAACGCAUUAGGCACUCCGCCUGGGAGUACGGCGCAAGGCUG
rnacentral:rRNA from 1 species